CUGCGGUGCAGAAGGUGUGUCACGAGGGGAGAUUCCAUGAGGAAGCACGCACGUCAAGAAAAGGAGCCAAAAAGCACGUAGAUGUAUGAUUAUAUUUUUGAAUUAUUUUUUUUUUAAUUAGAUACAACACCACACGACUGUCGUCAACGCACCAUCCUUUACAGGCACACAAAACAUUACCGGACGCGACGAAGUGUGCGCACGCCACCCAGCAAGACACGUGGAGCCGCCCAUCUAACUAGCGAUUGCAUCCUGCGACUCUGCGUGCGCACCUUCUUGGACACGCUUGUAAGCCACACAGUAGCGCUUACCCGCUGUUCUGAUUCUCCCUUUUUCCUUUGCGAGGAGGAACUCUUGGCGCGCUGCUUUUUUUGAGUGCCUCUCCCUGCCCGCCUACUUGGUUACACCGUCUGCCGUUCGUCCAACUAACCACCCCGCCCACCCUUGCUGUGUAGUUGGUGUCGGUUCGGAUAAGUUUCGCUGUCUCCACAGCGCCGAGUCGCUGCCGGGUAUAUGUAUACAUAUAUAUUCCUGCCUUCUUCCCACACUUUACCAG
rnacentral:misc_RNA from 1 species